CCUUGGCACUUCUAGGUUGGAAUGGAGGAAGAAAACAUGAAGCAGAAUGUAGGCUGUAAGGCGGAAGACUCAGAAAGAAGAGUUCUGAGGCAAGAGAGCCUGAAAGAGAAGAAAAGGGUCUUAUAACACAUGCUGCCAAGUCUUUAAUGUGAACAGCCUCUGGAUGCCCAGGUGCAACUAUGAGCUUGCCAGCUCCAUUUCUUUCCUCUUGUUGAUGGCCCAGGAAGUAUCCAGGUGAACUCGUGGUGCACUGGCUUUGAAAGAUGAUGGUCCCAAGAUAACUUCACCCAAGUAAACAUACCCCUUAAAUUAUGAUAGUGAAGCCACUCCCUACUCACUGAAAAAUCUGAGUUCCAAAUGCUUCCUGAGAUUUCAAUGGACAUUUUCUACUAGACUUAAAAGAAAAAUAGCUUGGAAAGUGUGAAUGCUGAAUUCUGUAGUCAAUAAUCAUUUGCACUGUGAAAUACAUUUUACGCUAGGAAUAAUUUACUACUAAAGGCAUCAUGAUGAAUCCUACAGAUGAAGAAGGAACCUGUAUAAAAUUAUUUGGAGCAAAAACUAAGAGACCACAACCACACAGCCUGGAAAACCACAACAGCCAGUUGAUUCCAGUUGCCAAAGCCUUCGACAAUACAUAUUUUUCCUAUCUUUUGCAAGCAGCCCCUUCAGCUGGGAGUUGGAAGGCUCUCCGGAAUGGGUGCCACAUGGCUUGGUGAACUGCAGUGAGGAGGGAAGAGCUUGCUUCAAGGUGUGAUUUUGCCCCAUUUCUACUCCUCAACUCCUAGGAUCUUAGGCAGCAAGUAUUGUUCUCUGUGCCUGUAUAGCCAAUCAAGAGACAGCUAGAUGGAUGAGUGGUGUGACUUGGUAUUAGACAGCUUCAGCCUUAACUUUAAAUAAAAUGAUAAAAUUCAGUUAUAAAACAUGG